CCAAUGUGGUUCUAAUCUCCUCCUUCUAAUUCUUCGCCGACGAUUAGCUCUGGACGACGAAGCACUCCGAGAUCUAGAAGACCGUACACUUGCAACCGAGAGGUCGUGCUUUCGUUUUUUCAUUCGAGAGAUUGUUCGAGGGCAGUUCGCGGUGCUGCUCCCCCUCGCGCCGCCUCUCUCAUCCUCUCCCGUCGCUGCUGCUGUCCCUCGCGCCGCCCCUAGCCUCCCCACCUAGACACGGCGACCAUGAGCGCCAGCGAGAGGAGGAGGAAGGCUGGUGACUGCGCGCUGCCGUACCAGGGGCCCGGCGGCCACCUCUGUGCGUGGAUCCUCACCUCCUCCGCCCCCUCCAACCUCCACUGAGCCGCUGCCAUGGCGACCGAGCUGCCGUUCGUCCCUCCCUCCCUCGCGCCUGGAACGCCAGCUCGUGGACAUGGCGACCGUACGCGCCGCAGGCAGGGCAGGAGCUGCAGCACUCCGAGGUUAGCGAAGAUCGGGUGGGGAUGGAUGAGCUAGACAUGGAUGGCGUCAACAUGGUCAGGCCCGAGUUCGCGUGCCCCAUUUCCCUCUCCCCGCACCUCUAAGUGGAGCACACCUUCGAGCCCCAUGCCUGGGAGUUCUUCACCUGUUCCCUACAACCAUGAUCUGGUCUCGAGUACAGCAUCAUACAGUGAUGAGUGGCAUGCAGAUUUACUUGGUUGUUGUUCAGAGCCAGCUCUAUAUGUCUGAAGACCUUUUUUCCAUGUGGAACAUUCUCAAGGAGUGCUUCAAUCGCCAAGAACAAGCCCAUGUGUAAGAAUAUUCUCUAAAAGUCAUUACAUCAGCUGUGCAGAGUUAUGACAAGCAAAUUCCCACACAACUUUUUUUUACAGUUAACCAUUUGCCAUGGCAGUAAAGAUCUUAUAAUGUACUGGGCAUCUUAUAAAUCAAAAUUUCCAUGGCAGUAAAGAUCUUAUACAUCAGGUUUACUUCUAAAAAUAAUGCAGUCACACCUUAUGUCAACCUAACUACCCUGAAAACUAAGACUGAUUUGCAUAGGUGUAUCACCCCGGAUGUAACUUUCCAUAUUUGUAACUCCAACUCUUGCCAUUUUCGGCUAUGUGUUAUGAUAUUCCCUCCGUGGUUGGGUUU